CUUGGUAAUUAAGUACUAAGUAUUCUAAUUAGUUACUACCUACCCAUUAUAUUACAAUCAAGCUGUAGCAGCAAGAAUGACACUUAAAGCAUUUUAUUCUCUCUUAUCUUUUCAAUCGUUAUCUUAACAUGGUAUUAAGACCUAGGUUCAAUUUUUUCUUGGUUCCUUACUUCUUUUCUUCAUCAUCUUCUUCAAUGGCACUCAAUCAAUCUUCUCUUGUCAUUGACUUUCAUCACCCUUUUUAUCUUUACCCUUUUGAUAUUCCUAGCACUCUACUGGUCUUUCAUCAGCUUCUUGGCUUUAAGAAUUACAAUAUAUGGAGUCGAUCAAUGAAAAUUGCUCUUCUUGCCAAAAACAAACUUGGAUUUGUUGAUAGCGCUUGCUCACUGGCUGAUCUUCCAGCUGAUCUUCAUCCGCAAUGGGACCGUUACAAUGUUAUUAUCCUCUCUUAGAUCCUUAACAGUGUUUGCCAAGAACUUUCAGUUGGUAUUGGUUUCGCUUCGAGUGUCUGCCUUGUUUGAAAGAAUCUUCAAGAAUGAUACAACAAAGUCAAUGGUCCAGAAUUUAUUAUCUCCAUUAUACUAUUUCUUCUCACAUUCAAGGACCUUUGCAGUGGACGGAUAUUGGGGAUUGGUAAAGAACAUGCUGAUCUCUACUACUUUCACCCACAUCAGUUCUCUUCCAGUCUUGUUUAUCCUCACAAAUCUGCCAAUAUUUCUUUGCCCCUUGUUACUUCUUUUAUGGCUUUACAUAAUGAUCCACAUGUAUGGCAUGCUCGCCUUGGUCACACCUCUGUUUCCAUAAUGAAAAAAAUUUGUUCAAUUAAAAUCUGUUUUACAUGAUCUUAAUGAAUUAUCUUCUUAUUCUAUUUGUCCACUAGCUAAACAAACUAAAUUGCCAUUUCCUCAUAGUCACACUCAAACUACUAAUGCUUUUGUUUUAAUUCAUAUUGACCUAUGGGACCCUAUAAAAUCUCAACUCAUAGUGGUCAUUGUUUUUUCCUCACUAUAGUUGAUGAUUUCACUUGAAUGACUUAGGUAUACCUUUUACGAACCAAGAGUGAUCACUCUUAAACAAUUUGUUGCCUUUGUAAAAACACAAUUUUCAGCUGAUAUCAAGGUUAUUCAGAGUGAUAAUGGUUCUGAAUUUUUUAACUCUACCUGCACACAUUUUUUCACCUCUCUUGGUAUUACCCGUCAAAGCUCAUGCGUCGAUACUCCACAACAAAAUGGGGUUGCUGAACGUAAACAUCGCCAUCUCCUUGAACUUGCUAGAGCCUUGAAAUUUCACUCACAUUUGCUUUCUAAAUUUUGGGACGAAUAUGUGCUAACAACUUGCUACAUUAUCAAUUGUUUACCUACCUCUGUUUUGUCUUGGAAAUCUCCUUAUGAAAGACUCCACAAAACUCCUCCAUCUCUCAAUCAUCUAAGGUUUUUUAGCUGCUUAUGUUAUGCCACCGUACCUCAUUAUCAUGAUAAGUUUUCCCCUAAAUCUAUUCCUUUCAUUUUUCUUGGUUAUUUUCUAGUUCAAAAUGGGUAUAUUCUCUUUGAUCUUCUUUCAAAGAAAUUUUUUGUUAAUCGCAAUGUCACAUUUCAUUAGACUACUUUUCCUUUUAAAAUUUUAUUUCCUGCUACUCUGAUGUUUCCCAUAAUUACUUUUGGCUCCAUAGAAGACUCACAUUUCUUUCCAACCCUCCAUACUUUAUCCCAUUACCUCAUCUGAUCUUUCUUCUUCCUCUUUCGCUUUGGAUCCUUUCUCAUUUCCACCUUUACAUCCAUCUCCUCCUCUUCGAAGAUCCACAAGAACCAUUACACGACCAUCUUGGCUACAAGACUUUGUAUGUUCUCCUCCAUCCUCUUCAUCCUCUUCACUUACGAUACAAGGUUCGUAUCCUCUUACUCUUUCUUAUGAUCAUUUACCUUUCUAUACAUAAUACUGCUACCACCAUAUCACACUUUGUUGAACCACAAUCCUAUUUUGAGGCUGUUAAACAUAAGUUUUGGAUAGAGGCUAUGCAACAGGAAAUACAAGCUUUGGAAUCCAAUGGCACUUGGGAAGUAGUCUCUUUACCUCCUGAGAAAACUUCCAUUAGUUGUAAAUGGGUGUAUAAGGUCAAAUAUCACUCUAUUGGCACAGUUGAAAGGUUCAAAGCUCGGCUAGUCGCCAAGGGCUAUAAUCAAAAGAAAGAGGGAUUUUGCAGCCAGGAGGAGAAUAGGGUCUGCAGAUUGCUUAAAUCUCUCUAUGGCUUGAAACAGGCUUCACGACGGUGGAAUUUGAAGUUAACUGAAACGUUGGUUUCACAUGGAUACAUUCAAUGUAACACGACUACUCCAUGUUUACAAAAAGUGUAGAAUCCAAACAAGUCAUCAUGUUAAUAUAUGUUGAUGAUAUGCUGAUUACAGGAAAUGCCAGUUGAUUGAUCAGUGAAUUAAAAGGUACACUGCACAAGAAUUUCAAGAUGAAGGACCUUGGGAGUUUAAAAUAUUUUCUUGGGAUUGAAAUAUCAAGGUCAGAUACAGGCAUUGUGCUAAAUCAGAGAAAAUAUGCUCUUGAAUUAAUUAAAGAUGUCGAUUUAAAAGGAGCAAAAUCAACAGUCACUCCAUUAGAGCAGAAUCAAAAGCUUACAACAGUAGAAUUUGAUGAAACAUUGCAGUUGAAAAAUGAUGAUGAAGUUUUAGCAGAUGUAACAAUUUAUCAAAGACUAAUUGAGAGAUUUUUAUACUUGACAAA